GCUCCCAUGGUGUAGUGGAUAGCAUUGAGGCUUGCGGAGCCUUAGACUCGGGUUCAAUCCCCGAUGGGAGCA
rnacentral:tRNA from 1 species